rnacentral:rRNA from 1 species
UCAGGAUGAACGCUAGCUACAGGCUUAACACAUGCAAGUCGAGGGGAAACGAUAUUGGAAGCUUGCUUCCGAUAGGCGUCGACCGGCGCACGGGUGAGUAACGCGUAUCCAACCUGCCCACCACUUGGGAAUAACCUUGCGAAAGUAAGACUAAUGCCCAAUGACGUUGAAAGAAGACAUCUGAUUUCAACUAAAGAUUCAUCGGUGAUGGAUGGGGAUGCGUCCGAUUAGCUUGUUGGCGGGGUAACGGCCCACCAAGGCAACGAUCGGUAGGGGUUCUGAGAGGAAGGUCCCCCACAUUGGAACUGAGACACGGUCCAAACUCCUACGGGAGGCAGCAGUGAGGAAUAUUGGUCAAUGGGCGAGAGCCUGAACCAGCCAAGUAGCGUGCAGGAUGACGGCCCUAUGGGUUGUAAACUGCUUUUAUAAGGGAAUAAAGUGGGGCUCGUGAGCUCCUUUGCAUGUACCUUAUGAAUAAGGACCGGCUAAUUCCGUGCCAGCAGCCGCGGUAAUACGGAAGGUCCGGGCGUUAUCCGGAUUUAUUGGGUUUAAAGGGAGCGUAGGCCGCAGGUUAAGCGUGUUGUGAAAUGUAGGGGCUCAACCUCUGCACUGCAGCGCGAACUGGCUUGCUUGAGUACGCACAACGUGGGCGGAAUUCGUGGUGUAGCGGUGAAAUGCUUAGAUAUCACGAAGAACUCCGAUUGCGAAGGCAGCUCACGGGAGCGCAACUGACGCUGAAGCUCGAAAGUGCGGGUAUCGAACAGGAUUAGAUACCCUGGUAGUCCGCACGGUAAACGAUGGAUGCCCGCUGUUGGCUUGAAUUAGUCAGCGGCCAAGCGAAAGCAUUAAGCAUCUCACCUGGGGAGUACGCCGGCAACGGUGAAACUCAAAGGAAUUGAC